GGACUUUAGUUCAGUGUAAACAUACCGAUAGGCCAAAACACCUUCACCAAACCAAAACAAACCUCCAGAACUGUGGGAUCAUUUACAUUGAAUAAAAGUAAGAGCCGACUUCAGUCGGUAUAUAUUGUUGCAAAAGGGGAUUUGCAAAAGGGGACGAUACAGAGGGAGUUGAAAGAUCUUGUCUUAACUUGUACCAAACAUUAAUCGGAAGAAGUUCAUGUGUAUGGCCAUUAAUAUUAAUAUUUAUGCAGUGAGUUAUAGUUGCUUGUGUAUGAAAGUAUGAACAAGUCUCAAACCAAACUUGUAGCCGGUGCAGCGGUGUUGACGAAACAAGUCGAUCCCUUAGGCAAAAAUACACAAGAUGAAAGGAAGAAACCGACAGCAGUCGGAAGUAUUACCCGUGAAGUCGCAUCGAACAGCAACGAUAAUAGGCAGUAUACGGAUGCAAUGAAAUUAGACCCAUCCCGCAUAGAGAUUGAAAGCGUUUUAGCGAAUGCUAUUAAAAUAGAAAACUUUACAGAAGAGGACAGUGUCUUCAAUGAAGAAAGCAUCCCUCUUGAUACAAUACGGUUACCAAAGAGAAAAUAUUUCGGGGAUGAAGAGUCGGAAGACGAUUCCAGCAUUACAUCGAAAUCGCAAGACUCUAACGAUGCUUGGGAUGAAAUGCAUUACCAAAAAGAAACUGAUCUUCGAGCGACCGCAUCGACAGCCAACAAUCCUGUCAAGAAAAAAAAGUUAGAACAAACACCACGUGAAUCCGUCAAACAAUACCUUGUAAACGAUAGUUCUAGAAUGAAACCUGUCAGUGAACCCAAUCGCAAUCGGAUUUCACAGAACGAUGGAGUGCAAGAUAUAUCUAUACAGAUACAGAUAUGUAAAGAAAGAAUAAGGAAACUAGAGGAAAAAAAUCGAUACCUAAAACAAGUUAUAGCUGAUAAGUUAGACAUUAUUGUAAAAGGCUCAACCAGACAGGUUCAGCAAAUGGAGAAGUUAGUUUCGACCAGAGCAGGUUCUCCACUUUUAGAGCCAUUUCCGGAUCCUUCCUUUACUGCAAAACUUUCAACUCCGAAUCGAUGGUAGCAAUCAUCCGAACAGGAGCGGGUCGUAACAAUCCAGAUCCGGACUCUACCAAAGCCAUUGGAUUCGCUGGUCUCCCCGAACUCCAGCGGACUUAAUCGGAAUCGUCCGGAAUUGCGGAGUCAAAUUCGGUUUUAAUCGGGAAUCGGAUUCAGUUUUCUAGAACCGGAGUUGGAGUAGAUCCAUUACUCCACUCCGGAUUACUCAUCACUAGUUGGCGACGAUGAUAACUACGUAUGAUUAAAUUGAGUAAAACAGUUUCAGUGUAAACAUACCGGCAGACAAAAUCAGCUUCAUCCAAACCAAAACAAACUUCCAGAACUGUGCCGUACGAUGGGUUACAUUGAAUAAAAGUAAGAACUGACUUCAGUGCUUAUUGCGGUUGUCGCAAUAGGGGUUUUAAAACGAUAAAAAGGUCAGCUGGACAAUCCUGUCCAAACGUUAAUGUGUGGCCAUCGAUAUUUCAUACAGUGUGUUAUAGUUGCUUGUGCAUGAAAGUAUGAAAAAGUCUCAACCCAAACUCCUAGCCGUGGCUGGCACUGGUGCAGCGCGUUUCAUCCAGGUGUUGACGGAACAAGUCGAUCCCUUAGGUGAUAAUACACAAGAUGAAUGGAAAGAACCGACAGAAGCCGUAAGUGUAAGCUGCGGAAAAGAUGAGAUGGAAUUCGGCCCAACACGAACAGAACUUGAAAACGUGCUAGCAAAUGCUAUUAAAAUUGAAAGCAGUGACUUCAAUGAAGAAAACAUUUCGCUUGAUGGGUUAAUGUCACCAAAGAGAAAAUACUCCGAAAACGAAGAAUCGGAGGACGAUUCCAGUAUCACAUCGAUGUCGCAAGAUUUUAGCGAAACUGUCACAGAAAUGCAUUAUCAAAGACAAACUGCCUUGAACAUCAACAAUCCUGUCAAGAAAAAAACGUUAGAACAAACACCACGCGCUUCAAAUUCACGCAUUAUCUCGUCAUCCACGGAAAAUAUUGGAAGACAUAUUGUCAGUGAAUCGCAAAACCGUAACAAACAAUGUGUGGAUAAUGAAGAUUUCAAAAUGGAGCUUGACUGUGCCAAUAAUAAACGUCGGCAAUCACAAUACGAUGUAGUGUCUAACCAAGCGACACAGUUGCAAAUGUAUAAAGCCAGAAUAAGGGAAUUGGAGCAGGAAAAUCGAUACUUACAAGGGAUCAUAACAUCUAAAUUAGAUGUUAUUAUACAAAAUUCAGCAGAGCAAAACGAACAUAUAGAUAAAUUGGUUGCACGAUCAAAGUCUACAUCUCAACCCGCGACUCAGAAAAGUCUUCACAAGACGGUAUUUAUGUUAAGGCCAUUGAACACUGAGGAGGAGUUGCAACAGCUAGAUGAAAUCGUUGGCACAAAUCCGACGUAUAGGGCGCAUGUUGUAGAAUACUUAAAACGUGAAUCCAACCGUACCGAUGUUGAAAAUUUACUACACGAUGCAAUUGAUUUGCUGUUUUGUAAAAGAUUUUUUGCUCGUAUGACUUGGACAGGAAUUAGUAGGACCGGAGCACCGAAGGUACAGUUAUGUAAAUAUGAAAACAUUAUUCGCCUUUUUCAAUUAGUUGGUGAAAGUGAGAGCGAAACACCUACUCUGCGUUAUAUAGUAGAGUAUUUAAAAAACAAGUUGAAACAUGCCAAAUCACGCAUUCAUAUACCCUUAACGAGAAAAACAUCCAGUCAUAAAAAAAUCAAAAAAACUACUUCCGAUAAUAUCGUAUGAUGCACAUGAUGUUAUCCUACAAUUUUAUCAAAACUGCCUUGUUCAGUUUAUAACAAAAAUCUCAUACAAAGUUUUUGAAUUUAUUGAUUUGCGAAUUCAGAAUAUUAACCUCCAGACAGUCAAUGCAAUGGUAAUGGUUUCAAAUUCUCUUGACAGUGGUUCAAUGCAAACUUCCCUUGUUAAAUUUAAAUGUAAGCAGCAUUUUAAUUGUAAGAAGUAAAACAUACAUUUUGGAACUGUUAUACACUAAA